UCUACGGGUGGCAGCAGUGGGGAAUAUUGGACAAUGGGCGAAAGCCUGAUCCAGCCAUGCCGCGUGUGUGAAGAAGGCCUUCGGGUUGUAAAGCACUUUCAGUGGGGAAGAAAGCCUUGGGGCUAAUACCCUCGAGGAAGGACAUCACCCACAGAAGAAGCACCGGCUAACUCCGUGCCAGCAGCCGCGGUAAUACGGAGGGUGCGAGCGUUAAUCGGAAUUACUGGGCGUAAAGCGCGCGUAGGCGGUCUGAUAAGCCGGUUGUGAAAGCCCCGGGCUCAACCUGGGAACGGCAUCCGGAACUGUCAGGCUAGAGUGCAGGAGAGGAAGGUAGAAUUCCCGGUGUAGCGGUGAAAUGCGUAGAGAUCGGGAGGAAUACCAGUGGCGAAGGCGGCCUUCUGGACUGACACUGACGCUGAGGUGCGAAAGCGUGGGUAGCAAACAGGAUUAGAUACCCCAGUAGUC
rnacentral:rRNA from 1 species